AGAUUGAACGCUGGCGGCAUGCUUUACACAUGCAGGUCGAACGGUAACAGGCCGCAAGGUGCUGACGAGUGGCGAACGGGUGAGUAAUGCAUCGGAACGUGCCCAGUCGUGGGGGAUAACGCAGCGAAAGCUGUGCUAAUACCGCAUACGAUCUAUGGAUGAAAGCGGGGGACCGAAGGCCUCGCGCGAUUGGAGCGGCCGAUGUCAGAUUAGCUAGUUGGUGGGGUAAAGCCCACCAAGGCGACGAUCUGUAGCUGGUCUGAGAGGACGACCAGCCACACUGAAACUGAGACGACGGUCCAGACUCCGUACGGGAGGCAGCAGUGGGGAAUUUUGGACAAGUGGGCG
rnacentral:rRNA from 1 species